GCUGAGCUCAGUAACGUGGGCUUGUAACCCAAGUGGGGGCAUUAAGGUUACUGAACGUUGGGCCGUUCCAAUUGGCUGGACUCAAGGUGCUAUUUACUGGCCCGCCCGUUCCAAGCGGGGAGUUGGCCCACGGAAUCCAGGCGAAGGCUUGGGCUUCGAGGGCCUUAGAGAGGAGGGCACCGCGUCAGGCUGGAUUUACAGAGCAGCGAUAACUUCCCACUCUCUGCAGUUGAAGGAUAACGGGCCGGUGCUCCUUGGGUCCAACAAAGCCAGUUGAAUCGGUCUUAAUUGGACAGUAACCUUU
rnacentral:SRP_RNA from 12 species